GCAGGGUUUCCCCUGGGUCAAUUAUUUUUUUCGCCACCUCUUUCGCCAAAACAAUAUAUUUUUCGCCACUUUAUUAUUUCUUUAAGUUUUAAAUCGGAGAUUUUUCUUGCUUUUGAAAAUUUUUCGUCACAACAACAGCUUUCUUUUCUAAACUAUCUUUAAAAGGAGAGGAGACGUUUGCUUCAAACACGUGCGUCGCAAA
rnacentral:lncRNA from 1 species